rnacentral:tRNA from 1 species
GGGGAUUUAGCUCAGUGGUAGAGCACUUGCCUAGCAAGCGCAAGGCCCUGGGUUCGGUCCCCAGCACCA